rnacentral:misc_RNA from 1 species
GUGGAAGAAAAAGAGAAAGUAAGUCAUAUAACACACACAACAACCAUAUUGUUGUAUUACCCAUAACGUCACAUCACUUCGCAUAGCAAGCACGAAAAUUUCAGCUUGCACAAGAAACUCUCAUUUGAAACUACAUAAAUGUUUUUAUGACACUAGAAAAUCCAACAGUAAAUACAUCAGAGAGCUAUUAGCAUGUGUGUUCAGCUGUACCUACAGUCAUCCUGCAGCUAUGCCUUCUCAAGGUCAAGGCUCACCAAUUCCAUCACGAGUCUGGUAGAAAUCAUCUGGCUUUACAAUAUUGAUAUCCUCAAAUUCAUUGUCAUCUUUUCUCAAGGUUAAUGCAACCUUCGCAUCAUUUUCAACCUUUUGUUCUGCCAACGUCUUUGAAUCCUCCAACACUUCCCCAUUGGACAAUGAGAUGAGUUGCUGAUCAUUAACUGGCUUAUCAAUGAGGACUUGCAAUUUCUGCUUAAUAUCCAGAAUCUUCUCGGUUGGAUCGCAUUGGAUAAAGUAAGUUGUCUUGUUACGCUUAACCCGGAUGUACAUAGCCUUUCAGUAAAAUGAAGCAUUGAAAUUGGAUACCAAUUAAGAAGAGUGAAAAAUCAUCUUCAACUACGAACUAAAAGAGGAAAAGAGAAGAAGACUUCCUAAUUUCGCCGAGGAAUGGAAAUCAACCUCACAAAUCGUAAUCCCUCUCUCUGUCUCUCUCUCUCUCUCUCUCUCUCUCUAGUCGCAACAGAUGUGAAGACCUUGUAUAAGGCCGCAGUAUACUGUAGCAGCGCUGGGGGACGACUCCGGU